GGACCCAGACUCCCUCUCUCCUUUUCAGCCAAGAGGGAAGCUUGGAGUCUCAAGAGGAAAACAUUUGUAUAAGAAUAAGGUUUUGGAAAGGGAAUCUGCUGAGGGAAAGAAAGAUUUUCUUUAUCCCAAGUUUCUUUUGUUUUUAAGCUUAAUUCAAAAUAGGUCCAUUUUCUUCAAUCUUGCUUCUUUAGAAAUAUGUGCCCAGAAAAUGCUUGGAUCAAAUUUGGGUUAAAUGUAUAUCUCCCAAUUUGCAGGCUUCCAUCUGGAGCACCCACCUUUUAAGGUGAUACUUCAUUCAAAGUUUAAUUACUGUUUCUUGAUCUCUACUACAUGAAAAGGUAGGAAAAGGUAAAAAGUAAAAAAUUUUAAAAAGGCAGAUGGAUGGCACAUGAGGACCCUUUGGUUAGAGUACUUCUCAAACUGCACUUGGGAUGAGUGAAGUGCCUAUAAAUUAGAAACAUGUGGAUUCCAUUUCCCCUAAAAAUGUACCAGGGAUGGAUGAGAAUAAAGGAAAAAUAAAUCCACUGCAAAAUGCCUUCUAGAUCUCAAUAAAGCCAAAAUACUUGAAAUGGCAAAAUGGAUUCCCUUUGGUCACUGAGUAGCAAGGACUCUGGCCCAGGCUCACAAGUAGCAGUUUCAAACCAGAAAAUUCCAGCCCCGUUAGCAACAGCCAACGGAAUUUCAAAUUCCAAUUCCAACUGUUAGUUUGAGCUGGGCAUGGCAGUUGGAAAAGGGUCUCUAUGAGAAGGGAGGGAGAGUCGCUGAGCAGAGGCUGUUCAAUACUUUUCUUCCUGUCUUUUUCUUGAUGUCUUCUCUUCACCUUUCAACAUUUUCUGUGAUGCUGUUUUGUUUUUUUUUUUAACCCCUGUCUGGUCUUGGAAAGAUCUUGGUGACUUUAUAAAGCUAGCUGGACUUAGAGCUGGACCUAGAGUCAGGAAGGGCUGAGCUUGGCCAGACCCUACUAGAAGUUUUGGCAGUGUGACUCUGGGAAAACUAUCUGAUUCCUCAUCUACAAAAUGGGAAUAAUUCCCUCUCAAGAUUAUAUAGGGCGUUAGGUAGUACAGUGGAUGGUGUGUUGGAUCUGUGGUUAGGAAGACUCAUCUUUCUGAGUUCAAAUCUGGCCUCAAGACAUUAGCUGUAUGCCUCUGAACAAGAUUUAGGGACUUGGCAGCCUAUCUGGUCUGAGCUGUGAUGUCCUCAGGGUCUUUGAGGCCCUUCUCCUACCAUCUUGAGGUGUCAUUAAUGCUACUGUUGUCGUCUUCCUGAGUCCGGCUUGGAGAAACUGAGCACUGGCAUCUAUCAAGAGUGCCCUGAGUUGCCACACCGACAUUUCUAAAGCAUGGAUCUGAACAUGACCUUCCUCUGCUGUAGAAGAUCAAAUGGCUCCCUAUUGCGUCUAGGAUCAAAGACAAACUCUUCUGUUUAGCAUUUAAAGUCCUUUCCAGCCUGGCUCCAGAUGACAAAAGGAUUGAAGAUUCAAGAGAUGUUCUUACCUUCAGGUGACUAUCCAGAAUUUCAGCCUUGUCACACAUCUCCCGGAAG